GCCUCUUCAUUCCCCUGAUUUCCCUAUAACCUUACCGUAACCAUAACCUCUCUCAUAUUCUCUCUCUCUCUCUCUCUCUCUAGCUUCUUUUUCUUUCCCUCUCUUGACAUAGGAGGAGGGAGAACCAAACGGGGUCUCAAAGAUGAAACCAAAAGAUGAGUUUAUUAAAGGUCCCUACAAGGGUUUUUUCAUGCAUGUGAAGGCCUCCAUGGUCAACCCCUUGAGAAUUGUUGUUGAAAGCUGUGACCAAAAGGAAGCCAUGAGUAGUGGCUCUGAAAUGCUGGCAGCUACGGCAGCAGCGGCCGCAGACACUUCACUCUAAUAAUCGGGUGCUAUCCUACCUGAGCUUUUUAAAAGUAUACAUUUUUUGUUGUUUAAUUUCUACCACCAUACCCCUUCCUCUUAUGUUUUCUUUGUUUCUCCUCAGCGUCUUCUUGACCUUGUAAGACCUUUUCUUGACCUUGUAAGACCUCCCGCCUUGUUCGCUAUCUUUGUUUCGUCUUCCUGGACAGACACUAUAUCAGAAUCUAGUGAUAUAGAGUCUCGUCUUGGCCCUUCCUCGUUACCGCCCAACUCAUCCUCUCCUUCCUUGUCUAUCCCUCCUGAGCUAUUCCAAUUCUCGCCAAGCGCAUGCAACAUACAGCUUUGGUGCUUGAAGUUGAAGACACAAUUAAUCGAGUUGAAUUGAAACGUGGUCCUUAUUAUUAACUAAGGGUAUAGUAGUAAAUAAAGAAAAGAAAAGUGGAAAGGGCAUUAUUGUGGCAAUGAAUUAGGCUUUUGUAUGAUUGUGGGCAGAAUAUUUAUGCUGUGGUUGUUGCAGGGGAUCAGUUUCAAUUCGUUGUUGUUUUAUGUGUUGUUUGGCUGAGAAAGUGAGUGUGUGUGUGUGUAUGUAAAUAUUAUUAUUCUUUUAGAUCUAAGCUUAGAGUCUGCCCCUCGUGACUGCUCUCCAAUGUACAAAUAUCCACUGUAUUAUUGGACUUAUCUCUCUGUC